UGGAAGCUUCACAAAUCCCCACUGCUGUGAACAAGUUGCAAGUUACUGUACCAAGACCCGAAUACUAGUAGUUAUUUUGUCAUAUAAUAUCAGGAGGAGUAUUCCUUUUUAAUAGGCAAGACACGGAGGAGCUAUGCAAAAGGAGUCAUCCAGCACCACUACUAGAGGCGUUCCUGGGCCUGUCCCCCAGAAUUAGUCUCAGGUAUCAUCCUUUAAAUCAGCCCUAUGAAGCACAACAGAUUUAUGCAGCUAAAAGAAAAUACAGGCUCCUCCGUUAUUAAUAUGUAAAGUCUGGAGAUGAAGUCACAUCUGUAUGAUGAUCUAUUUUGGUGGACCACCUGUGCUUAAAUCCCAGGCUUGAUCUUUCAAACUAUUAAGUCUGCCAUAAAUAUUUGACAAUGAACAAGCUUAUAAAAACAAAAUGCAAAAUAUGAAUAGAGGGAGAGCAAAUGUGUGAUUCAAUUUUUAAUUAUCAGCACCACUACAUUCAAGUUCAUCUUCUUUAAGAGGCAGAAAGUAACAAACUUCUUUCUCACUAUAACCUAAAUGAUCAGCAUUGCAUUUGUUUGUAUUUUUAAAGGAAAAGGAUAAAUCAUUGUAGAAACAACAGAAGCUGGAAACAAGAAACAAAGUAGAACAGUCUGGUUUUAUUACCAUAUGUAAUCAAGAGCUUUUAUUUCCCAUUUCUCCUCCUUUUUUGUUUUUCUUUCUUGCCUUUUUUUUUUACAACCGACAUUAAGUUGUGAAUCAUAUGUUAGGGGGAAGUGGAAAUGAAGGGAAACUGGUGACAUCACAAUACUUUACAACUUUACAACAAAUGAGAGUCUGAAUUUGUUGCAUCUACCAGUGUAUAGCAAGGGUGGAAAGCAAAGGCACACAUAGGUUCAUGAACCCCUCAAAACAGAGGGUGGAAGGGAACUGGGGGUGGGAAAGGAUGAACACAGAAGACCCACUGAGUACGAAAUGCACAUUUCAAGGUCAACUCAUUAACUGUGAUGUACACUGCGAAGGCAGAUCUCUGCACAAGCUGUUGCCGUGAUUAUUCAUCUCUAUGUUUUGGGAGAAUGCUUUGAGGGAUAAUAUCAAGGGAACCUGCGUGUUUGGUGCUUCAGGGGUUUGGAGCUUGGUAAAAAGGUUGUGAGUUGGUUCUUUUAAAAAAAAUUACCUUGCUACCUACUGUUUUCAAAGGGUUUUCUGUUUGUUUUUAUUAAAACAACAACAUUGCUUUGGAUACAGAUCUAUCUACUCCAGUCUGCAUAGUUCACUACGGGUGAACAAAACUGUUUCAUAAAAGAAGCCAUGAUGAAUUGAAAGAACAUGCAAGCACCCUUGUUACACACUUUGGUGUAGACUAUCCAGACUUUAUAUAUACCAUCUAUAAACUAACGGACUUAAAAUCGAUCUUUUCAAUCAUUCAGAAACAAAACCAAAACCCUGAAAAACAAAUGGAAGUAUAAAAUUUUAAAAAACAAAUUGAAACAGAAACAACCACCUUACUCGAACAUACUGUUCAGUAGAGAUAUAUAUAUAUAUAUAUAAAAAGCUUAGAAGCGAUCCCCAUCAUUUUUCUACAGUAUGUUGACACAGUUAUUGUAACAGAUUAAAAACACAACUACGUUUUUGCAUAAACUGAAAGACUGGAAAGGAACUUACACACCUGCGCGCGCGCACACACACACACGCACACACCUGGGCGCGCACACACUCCCACACUAGCUACGUGCACAGUCACACAAAAGAAACAAAGGAAAAAAACCCCGCGUUUUUCCCCAAAGAAGUAUAUGCAGCAUCCUUCUGGAGCAGCAGGUAGCUACAGCAGGAGCCUGCCUGCCUGUCCUAGCUCCAUGUGCCCUGCAGGCAGCAGGAUGUGUGGCUGGGCUUUCGGCAGGGCUUGGCCCCUCUCACCGGUGCUCAUCCCUGGCCAGGGGACAUACCAGCUCCGUGGACAUCAUUAGUCAUUUCCCUGCUGCCCAGUGAGAAUGAUCUCCAUGCUGUAAAAGGGGAGCGGGAGGCGGGGCAAGGCAGAACCCCCAGCAUGGUGCAUUGGGAGCAUCACCACUUGUGGGUGGUUUUGAGAGAGGACUUGGCACAGCUAGAAAGUCAAACUGCAGUGGAGGGUAUGGUGCUAGCCUAGUUUCUUUAGGGAUGUGGGGUUAUGACAAUAACCACCACGUUCUUUCAAUGUCUUUACUCCAGUUUUUGAAGGGGCUUGGUGGAGAAGGAAGGAUCAAUAAAUAUUUGCAUUACUCAAAGGGGAAAAAGAAAAAGGUUUUACAUACUACAGCUCACAAAUAUACACAACUGAGGGUGUAAGGCACAAAUUUACAUGUGGAAGAAAACAGGCUAUUCACAGAUAUAUUCCCACGAAAAACCCGUGUGAUAAGACCAUAAUUUAUGCAUGGUAACAGCCGGCAUAUUAGCUAGUUCACACUGUUUGAGGAUUUUGUUUGCCGUCUCACAUGCAAGGUGAAAUGAGAUGGCACAUCACAAGCUGGUGCCUUCACAGAAAGUAUUAGCUACUGACAAAGCCAUGUUGAUAGCAAUGGUGCACAGAUGUGCAGCUUUUAAGAUUCUCUUGCAGUUGCUUUAGAAGUUAUGAACUUGCAGUAUUUGUUGCUGUCUUAGGUCAGAGGCCCAGCCAGCUAAUUAGCUGAGAGACUUAAAUAGAUAUCCCCUUUUUUUUUCAGCUAACCAGGCAGUCCAGGCACAAAGUUCAGAAUUCCAGCUCCAACUUAUCUAACUCAGUAAAUUUCUUGGAAAAAUAAAAGAGUUCUAAUUACUCCAGUUAA